AAUGCUGUUUUGGAAGCAAGGAUGGGGAAAACCAUCCAUUUCCAUUUCUCAUUCUUCCAAGUUCUUAAGUUCAGUUCUCCCCAUUUCUACCUCGGUUUGCACUUAAAAGGGGGCAAUCCACCUGAAAAUUCACCAGUGAAUUUCCCCUAAUACACAAAUCUGUGUGCAUUUUUGCCUAAUGUAAACCUUUUUGCAAUCUUCCCUGAUAUAAUGCAUUUUAAAACGUUGCUUUUGCUAAUACAUUUGCAUUCUUCUGCACACCUCACACUAGUAUAAUUGCAUUACAAAAUUCAGAGAAGCGUGCAUUUUGAAAGAUGGCUGUGCUCACCUUUCAACAUGAACUGAAUCAAAUUUCUCCCCCCGUCCUUAGCUGGAAGCAACCCUUUCAUUCAGUCAACACUGACAGAACACCUUGUGGGGAUUUGGGAUUAUAGAGAGAAGAUAGUUAUUGAGUCUUGUCCUGUUCUUAUCAAAUGCAUUUCAAUGAAACAUUCCCUCUUAGGCCCCUUUAAAUAAUAUUCCAGUAUCUUUCCAGCAGCUGCAUAAUUUAACUUUGUCUGCUUUUCCUUUCAGUCAAGCUGCCAUUCAAUUAGCAUUUGCUAUAGUUAUUUUAACAAACAUUACCAACUUAAGUCCCAUUGAUUUUAGAAAGGAACAUUUACGUACAGUGGUGCCUCGCAAGACGAAAUUAAUUCGUUCCGCAAGUCUCUUCGUCUUGCGAGUUUUUCGUCUUGCGAUGCACGGUUUCCCAUAGGAAUGCAUUGAAAAUCAAUAAUGCGUUCCUAGGGAAACCACCUUCAGACCAGGUCCGGGGACAGUCUGUCCCCCGACCUCUUCUGAAGGCUGGGGGGGGCGAAAGUCUUUGCUCCCCCCGCCUGCAUUCAAAAGCCCUCCGGGACAGCGAAGAAACGUGCUGCGUUUCUCCGCUCUCCCGGGAAGGCAGGCAGGGGGGAGCAAAGACUUUUGCCCCCCGCUGGCCUUCAGAAGAGGUCCAGUCUUUGCUCCCCCCCUGCCUUCAAAAGAUGUCCGCCCAGGGUUCGCGGACCUCUCCGCAAGCAGCGGCAGCACUGCCGCAGCUUGCGGAGAGUUGCCGGCAUGCUGAAGCCUGGGCGCGCUGAGAUCAGCGCGCCCAGGCUUCGCGGC
rnacentral:lncRNA from 1 species